rnacentral:rRNA from 1 species
AUUGAACGCUGGCGGCAGGCCUAACACAUGCAAGUCGAACGAGUGGCGGACGGGUGAGUAAUGUCUGGGAAACUGCCUGAUGGAGGGGGAUAACUACUGGAAACGGUAGCUAAUACCGCAUACCAUCGGAUGUACCCAGAUGGGAUUAGCUAGUCGGUGGGGUAACGGCUCACCUAGGCGACGAUCCCUAGCUGGUCUGAGAGGAUGACCAGCCAAACUGGAACUGAGACACGGUCCAGACGCCUACGGGAGGCAGCAGGGGGGAAUAUUGCACAAUGGGCGCAAGCCUGAUGGAGCCAUGCCGCGUGUAUGAAGAAGGCCUUCGGGUUGUAAAGUACUUUCAGCGGGGAGGCGUUACCCGCAGAAGAAGCACCGGCUAACUCCGUGCCAGCAGCCGCGGUAAUAC